rfam:Arabidopsis thaliana chromosome 4, complete sequence.
GGACUUACCUGGACGGGAUCAACUCGUGAUCAAUAAGACAAGUGGCCUAGGCUAGUGAUCGCAUUGCACAUAUCGUUUGGGUGCUAUGCUUAAGGUUUUCCUUUAAGGAAGAGUAUGUGUCAUUAUUUGUGACAGAGGAGAUUUGCAUUCGCGCAAUGCUACU